rnacentral:rRNA from 1 species
GAUGAACGCUGGCGGCGUGCCUAAUACAUGCAAGUCGAGCGAACAGAUGAGGAGCUUGCUCCUCUGACGUUAGCGGCGGACGGGUGAGUAACACGUGGAUAACCUACCUAUAAGACUGGGAUAACUUCGGGAAACCGGAGCUAAUACCGGAUAAUAUAUUGAACCGCAUGGUUCAAUAGUGAAAGACGGUUUUGCUGUCACUUAUAGAUGGAUCCGCGCCGCAUUAGCUAGUUGGUAAGGUAACGGCUUACCAAGGCAACGAUGCGUAGCCGACCUGAGAGGGUGAUCGGCCACACUGGGACUGAGACACAGUCCAGACUCCUACGGGAGGCAGCAGUAGGGAAUCUUCCGCAAUGGGCGAAAGCCUGACGGAGCAACGCCGCGUGAGUGAUGAAGGUCUUCGGAUCGUAAAACUCUGUUAUUAGGGAAGAACAAAUGUGUAAGUAACUAUGCACGUCUUGACGGUACCUAAUCAGAAAGCCACGGCUAACUACGUG